GAUCUUACUGGAAUGAUAAAAUGCCUAAAAGGAGUCUGAUGGGGGUAAAAUUCAGGUGCUAGCAGGGCCAUUUCCUUCUUUGGGCUCCAGGAGUAAGUCUGUUCUUUGCUUCUUCCUCCUCCUAGAGGCUUCUGGCAUACCUUGGCUCCUGGCUGCAUCACUCCAAUCCAUUGUGACAUCGCCAACACCCUGGAUCCCUACCCCACUAACCCUUCUGCCUCCCUCUUCUAAAGAUCCUUCCACGCGGGAUAGAUGAUGGCUGGGAUGUGGAAUUUCUCCAUCAGUGUGCCAGGGUUGUGAGCAGUUCCCAGUGGAAGAGCUGCAACAACUUCGUCCCUUAACCUCCACUGAAGAAUGCAUGGGAGACAGAGUGAUGCUAUUAUAGAAAAAAGCUUGGAUCUGCUUUAAUUUAUUAUUUUGAAAUUCAGUUAUUCGCAAAGCAAAUACUGCUGACUGAUCAAUCCCAGUGCUCUUUCUGGCUGAUCUGCAACCAAAUCUUAGAAACCAACGAUGCUCUGGGCAGCCGGUACCAUCAACCGUAUCAGCAUAACAGCAUGAAAUCUGUUAGUUAUCUCUGCAAAGCAAAGAAAGGAAUGUCUAAUACAGGAAAACCUCAUUACCUGAAGGGAAGCCCGGUCACUCCCAGGGGUCCUGGCAGGAAGCUCCAAGUCACUGUGUCCAGGACAGGAGAGCAGGCCUCUGUUGACUUCCUGGCAUUGUACACUCCUGGCUCCUUGCCGCAGGGUCUUGCAGAAAGUGAUUUCUCAGAAUUGAAUGUUUCUCCAG